GAUGAACGCUGGCGGCGUGCCUAAUACAUGCAAGUAGAACGCUGAAGGAAGGAGCUUGCUCUUUCCGGAUGAGUUGCGAACGGGUGAGUAACGCGUAGGUAACCUGCCUGGUAGCGGGGGAUAACUAUUGGAAACGAUAGCUAAUACCGCAUAACAGUAGAUGCUGCAUGAUAUCUACUUAAAAGGUGCAAUUGCACCACUACCAGAUGGACCUGCGUUGUAUUAGCUAGUUGGUGAGGUAACGGCUCACCAAGGCGACGAUACAUAGCCGACCUGAGAGGGUGAUCGGCCACACUGGGACUGAGACACGGCCCAGACUCCUACGGGGGGCAGCAGUAGGGAAUCUUCGGCAAUGGACGGAAGUCUGACCGAGCAACGCCGCGUGAGUGAAGAAGGUUUUCGGAUCGUAAAGCUCUGUUGUAAGAGAAGAACGAGUGUGAGAGUGGAAAGUUCACACUGUGACGGUAUCUUACCAGAAAGAGACGGCUAACUACGUG
rnacentral:rRNA from 1 species